rnacentral:rRNA from 1 species
AGAGUUUGAUCAUGGCUCAGGACGAACGCUGGCGGCGUGCUUAAUACAUGCAAGUCGAGCGAGAACCUACUGAGGGGUAACCCUCGGUAGGGGAGAGCGGCGAACGGGUGAGUAACACGUGGACAACGUGCCCCAGACUCUGGGAUAACAGCGGGAAACCGCUGCUAAUACCGGAUAACCCUGAUAACCCGCAUGGGUGUUCAGGCAAAGAAUUUCGGUCUGGGAUCGGUCCGCGGCCUAUCAGCUUGUUGGUGGGGUAACGGCCUACCAAGGCUUUGACGGGUAGCUGGCGUGAGAGCGUGACCAGCCACACUGGGACUGAGACACGGCCCAGACUCCUACGGGAGGCAGCAGUAGGGAAUCUUGCGCAAUGGGCGAAAGCCUGACGCAGCGACGCCGCGUGAGGGAUGAAGGCCUUCGGGUUGUAAACCUCUUUCAGCGGGGACGAAGCCCUUCGGGGUGACGGUACCCGCAGAAGAAGCCCCGGCCAACUACGUGCCAGCAGCCGCGGUAAUACGUAGGGGGCGAGCGUUGUCCGGAUUUAUUGGGCGUAAAGAGCGCGUAGGCGGCCGUUCACGUCGGAUGUGAAAGCUCAAAGCUCAACUUUGAGAUGCCAUUCGAUACGGAACGGCUAGAGGCAGCUAGGGGAGAGUGGAAUUCCUGGUGUAGCGGUGAAAUGCGCAGAUAUCAGGAGGAACACCGGUGGCGAAGGCGGCUCUCUGGGGCUGUUCUGACGCUGAGGCGCGAAAGCUGGGGGAGCAAACAGGAUUAGAUACCCCCGUAGUCC